UACGGAGGAUCCGAGCGUUAUCCGGAUUUAUUGGGUUUAAAGGGUGCGUAGGCGGACUAAUAAGUCAGCUGUGAAAGUUUACGGCUCAACCGUGAAAUUGCAGUUGAAACUGUUGGUCUUGAGUACACAAGAGGUGAGCGGAAUUUGUGGUGUAGCGGUGAAAUGCUUAGAUAUCACAAGGAACUCCAAUUGCGAAGGCAGCUCACUGGGGUGUAACUGACGCUGAGGCACGAAGGUGCGGGUAUCAAACAGG
rnacentral:rRNA from 1 species